rnacentral:lncRNA from 1 species
UCUCUCUCUCUCUCUCUCUCUCUCUCUCUCUCUCUCUCUCUCUCUCUCUCUCUCUCUCUCUCUCUCUCUCUCUCUCUCUCUUACAGAUCUGUCGCUGGCGCAUCCUGACCGUCCUCACCGACCACGUCGGCGUCGCCUCCAAGUGGCUCACCAAGCUCCUCCGCUCCAAAUCCACCAACACCAAGCCUCCUCUCCCCAACUCCAUCUUCGUCGGCCUCGUCGCCGAGGAGCACCUCCCCUUCUACAGCCCUCUCCCCUACGACUCCACUGACCACUGCCUCGACCUCCUCACCCUCCCCGUCGGCUCUCACUGCCUCAUGCUCGAGCUCGUAGUGGUGCAUGAUGGAGCUCGGCUCGCAUCGACGUUUCCAAGCGACGGCGUGCAGACGAGGUCGGAGAACAAUCAAAUCGGGAUUUGAUGCUGCUCUUCGGACUCGUAGUGUUGCAGUGACAGGCGAGGAGGAGGCCGGGCAAUAAGCGGAGGCGAGGAUGAGGUCGCCAUAGAUGGUGGAGGCGCGGAUGAGACCACCUGCGACGGAUCUGUAAGAGAGAGAGAGAGAGAGAGAGAGAGAGAGAGAGAGAGAGAGAGAGAGUAGUAAGUAGUAGNNNNNNNNNNNNNNNNNNNNGAGAGAGAGAGGUAUAAACUGUAAGGAGGGUUAUUUGGUCAUUUUACGCAAACUCUCGCGGACAACUCAGCGCAUGACGUCAUGGUAAGAAGGGCAAUUCAAAAAUUGGACUAAACUGAUGUGAAUUAGAACUUCAAGGACUAACGUUAUUAAAAAAAAGAUAUGGGACCAAACUAAUUAUUGACCUAAAAAACGAGGGGACAAACUGAGUUUAAUCCUUUAAUUAAUGUGUGGAGGAAUGAGUUUAUUGCUAUCGGAGGUGCUUUGGUGGUGUUAAUCCGCUACUGAAGUAGACUAAGAAAGGUAAGAGAGGAAAAUAGAUUUGGAUCUCAGUCGGCAGUAGUAGCUUUGUGGUUAACAGUAGCAGUACGUUUUAGUAAGCAGUAGCAUCAGCAAUAACAGUAGCAGCUUCCUAAUAAUCGGCAACAGUAGCAGAGCCUUUGGGUCGGGAGCAGUAGCAGAGCCUUUCAGUCCGGAGCAGGAAAAGGCAGUAGCAGAAGUGGAGGAUAAUGCAGUAGCAAAAGUGGAGGAUAAAACUGUAGGUUAACCUUCAUUGUCUAGUCUUCAUUGAUGUGUGUUGUUGUGUGCUGCUACUACGUGUGUUGUUGUUGUGUGCUGCUACUGCGUGUGUUGUUAUGUGUUGCUACUGUGUGUGCAGUUGAUGUGUGUUGCUACUACGUGAGCCACUGAAAACAUGAUACUGCACUUACUGAAGCUGCUAUUACACUAGCUGAACCACUAAAAUCCUGCUACUACAUCUGUUGUAAGUGUAACUUUUCAGCAAAACAUGCUACUACAUUAGCUGAGCCACUGAAAACAUGCUACUGCACUUACUGAAGCUGCUACUACAUUAGCUGAACCACUAAACCUUGCUACUACAUCUGUUGGAAGUAUAGCUUUCUAGCAAAACAUACUACCACAUUAGCUGAGCCACUAAAAAUCUGCUACUGCACUUACUGAAGCUAUUACUGCACUUACUGAAGCUGCGACUACACUAGCUGAACCACUAAAACCCUGCUACUACAUCUGUUAGAAGUGUAGCUUUCCAACAAAACAUGCUACUACAUUAGCUGAGCCACUGAAAACCUGCUACUACUUCUAGUGGGAUGUUAACCUUUUCUACUACUUUCUACUGGAAUGUUAACCCCUGCUACUACUUCUACUGGAAUUAACUACUAUUACUACUGGGAUGUUAACCCCUGUUAUACUACUUCUACUAGGAUGUUAACCAUUGCUACUAAAUCUACUGGAAUUAACUGCUACUACACUAAAUUAUUGAAAAUCUGCUACUAUAUUCUAUUUACUGAAAAAUCUCAAAAGGAGAGACUUUUCACUUCUAAAAGCAUAUUUAAUUAGUGUAGGGUUAGUUUGGUAAAUUAAAACAUGACAUAUGGCAUGCAGAGAAAAGAUUGUCUUUAAUUGUUAAAAACUGUCCUUAUUUGUUUACCAACACAAGUGGAUUUGUUUGUGUUUCAAAUCCUUUUAGAGGAUAUAUAUGUGAUUUGCUAAUAUAUAUAUAUAUAUAUGUAUAUAUAUAUAUUGUUAACGUG